CUGAUCUGUAAAGAUACGUUUUGGUACAAUAUAAAGGAGUUCAAGUAACCUUUUUUUAAGUCUGUGGCUUGAAUAAGUUAAAAACAAAUACAGUUUUUCCCCUCCUCAGCAACAUGAUAUUAUCAUACCUGAUGUGCGAAUCGCGAUAACGAGGUGGAUUGCAAAACUGCAUUUUUUUGUGAACUGUGCUUGUAGAAGAAAAGGGGGCAGAGACUUUUUUGAAGGACGCCUUUAGUAGCAACAGAGAAACAGGAAGAAGAUGGAUUUGACAUUUGCAAACAAAUUCGACUGCUCAAAUUCUGGGUUUUUCUUUCCUCUAAAAAUGAUCUGCACAAGAGAUGGCUGCACAUUUUUAUGUAAAUUGUAUUUCAGUGAUGGCUCCACCCCAUUUUUGAGUUCCUGCUGCAGGAGUUAAUGCUGUAUAUAUGCUGUACAGCUGUGAAGGAACCUGAACUGCUGACUUCUUUCUUCAGGACAGUGAGUUGCAAUGGAUGCAGACUUUUCCAAAUGUCAUCAGAUUGUAUUGCCAUAAUGGAAUAUUUAUUUUGGGCUCUAGUGGAAUUUCCAGGCUACAUGUAGAAGACUAGAGAGUAGGAAAUAUCUAGCAUUUCUCAAUGAAUGAUUGUGCAUGGUGAAACUUGUCCUCAAUGAAACUGGCAGCCUUAGACAAUCCUGAUGCAGAAAGUUCUAGGUAAUACGUGAAAGUCUGUAGAACAUGGCUGUGACACCACCUCCUGAAAUUACCAUAGCUGAGCCCAUUUCCAUUCCAAUCCUAAAUGUUCUCCCACCGUCGUCCGAUACGGAGUCAUGGUCCUGUUCCCCAAGCCCACGGCCACACCGGUACCACUCUCGGAGCCGAAAACGGGAGAAGAGAAGAGCCAAAGUGCCUCAAGAGGACAUAUCAAAGAACCGUUGGGAUAAAGGGCAAGGGAAACGAGAUAGGAGCCAAAGCCUGUCACGUGCAUCUCCAACGCCUCCAAGGGUUUCUAAUGUAGAAGAGGAAGAGCAGAGCAGCCCCUCCGUGCUUCUCCUACCCCCAUCCCGCUCAUGGUCACAGAGCUCCUCCCUAAGCAGGCGCUCUCGCUGGUCUAUCCGUAGCCUUCUCAGCAAGGACUCGGAUUGUGGCAGCAGCAGUACAGCCAGUAAUUCUCCGCGCAGUACUCCCGGCAGCUCACCCUACCUGCGCCGCCGUGUGCUGGGAGGCAGAGCCAGUGAAGGGGAGGCGGGCGGGGACAGAAGCGCUGGGGGCUCAGAGAGCCCCCUGCCUCCUACUCCCUCCUCAUCCACCUCCUCCUACCCGCUCGCGGCCCGACACUUCACCCGCAAUGCCAAGGUAAGCCACGUUCUCAACCAGUGAGACUGAUUGAUGGUCGUCACUCAUCCAAAUGUCUG
rnacentral:lncRNA from 1 species